AUUGAGGAGGAGAAUACUUAUCCAGUGAGUUUCUCGAUUAUCUAAAAUAAAAUAAAAUACUCUCUCAAUGGACACCUCCUUAUACUCCAUAAUUAAAUAAAAUUGUAGAAAGGAAGAAUCAUACCUUAUUAUAUAUGGUGCGGUCCAUGAUGUGUUUUACAAAUUUUUCAAUAUCCUUCUAGAGAUAUGCUCUCGAGGCUACAGCAUAU
rnacentral:lncRNA from 1 species